AUCACUAUCCCCGGUUCUGGUUCUUCCGGCGGCAUCCGCCGGAAGCUAAGAGGGAACCCGGUGAGCCGCGCCGAGCGGCGAGACCGGGGCUGCCCCCGCAACUGUGAGCGGCGAGCCGAUCCGUCAUUUUCCGCCACUGGCGCCCCUCGCGGCGCUGGGAAGGCUGGACGGACCGGCGACGACCCGCAAGCCAGGAGACCUGCCAGCACCACGAUCAACGU
rnacentral:ncRNA from 2 species